rnacentral:lncRNA from 1 species
AACUUUGUUUCCAAUGGUGAGAGAUAUGAGGGGCUUUCCCCUGUGCCGAAAUCUUAUAUCAAAUUGAAAACCCAAAAUCAAAUAAAUAUGAAACCUACAACAAGAAAUGAGAUCGCCCUAGAGGUCCAAUGUUGACUUUUGGUGGUGUGUGCACGUGUUUUGGUACAGAUUGGGAAGGAAAGACUGGCGUCGAUGCGAGUGAACAUGAUCUAGAGAGGCUUAUCUUGGAUGGUAGCGUGAUAGAGCAUUCUGAAAAUGGGGUUCAUAGGGUUGGGUGCCAAAAAUGACAAACAACCUUUUGGUCAUCCUUCCCCAAUUGAUACUCACUUCCCACAUUUCUAAACCUUCUACAUCGCCCCUGACUGCGUCCUCGCCCAUGUUGCCCCCUACCCCGUCUUAGCCCGCUGCUUUGGGAUCUCCUCACAAUAGUCCUAUUGUGCCUUCUUUGCCAUCUGUAAGGCCGUCACCGACAACCUAAGCCACAUGUUCAAGCUCUGCACAAACUCUGAGAGGAUCAUGGUAGCCGGUAGUGUUCGGUUGAAGCUUUAUCGUGAGGUUGAGGAAUCCAAGGAAUUCCGACGCAUUGUUGUUUCUCCUCAUCCAAAGCUACAAUUGCACCCUCCUUCUUUCCCUUUUUUGUUAAUUGUGUGAAUGAAUUAGUUAAAUUGUCACAGCUUUUUGUGUUAAUUGUUCUUUUAUUGUUCAAAGUGAA